rnacentral:rRNA from 1 species
UACGUAGGGUGCGAGCGUUGUCCGGAAUUAUUGGGCGUAAAGAGCUUGUAGGCGGUUUGUCGCGUCUGCUGUGAAAUCCCAAGGCUCAACCUUGAGCUUGCAGUGGGUACGGGCAGACUAGAGUGUGGUAGGGGAGACUGGAAUUCCUGGUGUAGCGGUGAAAUGCGCAGAUAUCAGGAGGAACACCGAUGGCGAAGGCAGGUCUCUGGGCCACUACUGACGCUGAGAAGCGAAAGCAUGGGGAGCGAACAGG